UUCUCAAGAGUGGUGGGGGCGACGAGCAGCUGAGGAGCAGUAGCAGCUACAGGACCCAGCAGUCGCAGCUCACGGUCCCUGCCACAGCUUUGCUCCUUCUGGAGGAGGAGGAGAAGGUCCUCCUCCACGACCACUCUACGUCCCAGCAAUAAGAUUUGGUGGGUGGUCACCUCACUUCCAGCAGCACCAAGACCCACUUUUCCCUUCGGAUCCAUUCUUGACUCCGUCGGACCACUGAUUUCUACGCUCGUUUGCUCCUCUUCCAGUCGAGAGACCGUUCCAUCCGCCAGUGCUGUAUCCUUUUCCGAAUGCUCCGACUUUCCAGCCUGCUGAUAAUGUGGUUCAUCCGGCGCAUUCCUCUGGGGAGCUUAAAGCUCGUCCUGGCCUUCACUUCGAGUCUCCGGUGUUUCGACCCAGCGCAGCAGAGACCUCGGACUUCAAACGCGCCCCAGAGCAGCCGAGGAGAUCGGUUACACCUGCGAAGGAUGACAAGCAACAAUUCCACGGCAAUGGUUCCGAGCUCCUUCAGUUGUUACAGGGUGGUCCUGGUCGUGUGAAGCCCACAGCCUCCACAAAGGUGGAUGCUACACAGGACAGUGGGGAUUCUGGAGAGCCAUCAAAGAAAGGAAGUCCAUCUGCUGUUCACGGCCCCAUAGGACCGCCGAGGCGUCAUGUCGUUUCUCCUCCGCAGAGUCCAAAUGACCUCCUUGGACGUUUGUGGGCUGCUCUUCCGUCGUCAAGCCACACCUUGUUUGGCGGAGAAAGCGAACGCAAGACGUCAGCCCGGAGCUUUAGCGUUGAAGCGAACGAGAUGUCCCGGGAAGUCGAUGGAGGUGGAGCUGCUGGUUUCGCACUUUUGAAGCGAAGGGGAUCGGAGCCUGCCGCCUCGCACUACCUUUAAACGGCUACGACUAUAACGACUCUAAGACAAAUGAUAAGCCGAGGACAAACUCAGCAUCCGGAAGACUACAGGACUAUCGUGGGAGAUCCGUAAAUGGAGAGGCCGAAUUUGAGCCCGGAGGCGAUGACUUUAGAGGUGCGGGAAGGCGUCGAGGUACCGGUCGUCCAGACGCCAGACGCGGUGGUCGGGGUGCUGUUGGCCAGUGGAUUGCGGUAAAUGAGAGGCAUAAAGAUGCUGAGCCAAGUGACAUCACGUCCUGCGAUAUCUCUGAUGGAAGGGACGAGUCGCUUAAAUCUUGAAACGGGACUUAGUCGAAUGCUAGGAGAAAACAUCAACAGGAAUGGAGGAUAAAACAGGCCGACUCAAAGGCAGCAUUUCCAGCGGAGAAAAAACCGGACUACAAGGUUCCAAAGGCACGGUCUUUGGCAUCUCAACUUGAACGUCCAGGCUUGCCAUCGGGAAGUACGCAAAACUCUUCCGUUGGCGCGGCUUUUGAGGAGUCCAAACAGAGGCUCCAUAAUCUAGAUGCUUUGGAAGGAGAAGGCGUGACGACCUCUCUAGAUCUCGAGGAGCUACAAAUUGACGGUCACCGUCGUGAGGGUAACACUCCACAGUUUGACAAGGUUUGUGCUUGCUUUUUUUCUUUCUUUAUUUUCAUGUGUUUGUAUCUCUGGUUACAGCCGAAGGAGAACCGUUUCAGGACCUCUGAAGAACUAAAGGUAUGCAUAUGCAUAUUCUUAAUAUUGUUAUGUUUUCCAUGUUUUACCAUUUACUCUAUACACCAGAUUUUAAAAUACUCAAAACCACGAGAGUAAAGUAAUAUCCUGAGAAUACGAUUUGUAAGCAAAACAGAAACUAUGUCUUCUCCAAACGCUGCUGACGGCUUGGAAAUCUCUGUUUUUGUUUUUUGAGUUAUGCAAAAUAGUGUAGCAUUUGCGCAGAUCGAGAACCCAAUCGAUGUCCACUGAAGGAGCAAGGUUUAAUCCCAGAAUUUUAUCUGGAGAUCCGGCCGCUCCUCAAGCCAUGGUGGAACUUUCGUAGCUUUUAGGCAGCGUAGGACUUUGAGCCUGGGAAAUAAGCCAAGGCCGUGAUCGUCUGAACUCAAUUGGGGCCACACUACAUCAUCAUGACCAGAGAGCUCAAGUUCCUCCAAUCCUGGAAGGGAUGCAAUGGAUGAUGGAAUAUUUUUGAUCCCCAUCAAGUGCGCCCAUCUUAAAAGAGUCAUCUGGUCUGUUGGCUCAAAGAAAUCAUUGGGGAUACAGCCCUUCCACAAAAAUAAUGUGACGCAUUUCACCUUCAGCUGUGAUCUCUCGGUUGGCAUCAAGAGUCUCCUCAUGUAACCUUCUACAUCCAGUUCAUCAAGGUCUUUGGGGAGUUGUGUCACAAAGAGAGGCAAAUGCUCCCAUGUAUUAUCAAGAGCCACAACGAAUGUUAACCUCUUCAGAUUUGGAAGACUUGCUGCCAAAUCAUCCUUGAACUCCGACUGUGCAAUGUGUAGAUUUUCAAGGCCCAGAAAUUCAAGGCAUGGGAACGAUCCAUCCAGACUGAAGAACUGGAUACCACUGCAGUCUAGGUGAAGUUCUCGUAGCCGCUGAAAGCCCUUUAACCAGGACAGGUCUUUCAUUGUCUCAUUGUUCCUGAUGGUUAACAAUUGUAGCUGUGGCCAUUCAAGGCUUUCGGCAUUGUUUUCACCGUCUUGAACCCCGUCAAUCGAAAAGCCCUCAAGCUGUUUGGAAUUCUUAAACAUUCGCUUCCAGUCAAGUUUGAUAGUCGAUUUCACCAUAAUCUCACAUCGUUUCAGAUUGACAAGUUGCCACGGGCCGGUGAAAUCGCCAAAGUCCAUGCUCUUUGCGCACAACUUCAGUUUCUCAAUGUCCACUAGUGCACCAAGGCUGCGAGGUAUUUUUAUUGUUGCAUUGUAGAGUGUUAGCGUUAAAUGUCUUAGCUUGUGUAGGCUUGAAAUUCCACUCAAAUCCACAGCCAGAGCUAACUCCUUAAAGGAUACAAGCUCCAGCUCUUCCAAGUCGAAUAAUUGGGGCAGUAAUGCAAAGUUGAGAUUUCUGGUAGCCUUGCAUUUCAAAACCUUCAGUGAUGUCAAGCUGAAGAGCGCAUCUGGCAAUUGAGGCACAUCAUCGUAGGAUGGAAGGUGAAGCACUUGAAGGUUUCUCAGCUUGGAUAUGCUCUCUGGAAUAGAACGGGCCAAAUUAUAGCAUCCAUUCAAGCUCAAUACCUUGACAUUUUGGAUGUGAUCUAUAUCCAAACCAGAAAUUUCAUGAGGUCCAUCGAGAAGCAAGACAUCUCGCACAUGAAUGUCAGACAAAAGGCUGCUUGUAACCUUCUUUCCAAUGAAUGAAACUUUAGAAAAUGUUGGAGAAAUCCCAGGUGGACAAUCAUAGCCAAACAGGCAUCCCUUCUCGUGCUCUUCCUGGGGUGGGUACUUCCCUUUCAAGAUUCUUAUGCACAGCUUGCGUACCAUGUCGUGCACAGUUACAUACUUUUCCCGAAGUAUACUAGUUGUCUUCACUAGGCAUCUUCGUUCCAGUUCACUAACAAUCUGCAGAGGCGAGAGUUCUGACCCAACCGCUAUCCAACAUUUUCUCAGAUGAUCAAACUGGAUUCGCUCAUCUUCUGGAAACGCAGCCACAUAGAGAAAGCACUCUUGCAGCUUUUCAUCCUUAUUAAAGCGUCCCAGCUCAUCAUAGCUAAACUUCAAGCGCUGGAACAUCCGCUUCUCAAUGUCCCCGUCAUUCAACAAAUGCAUCUUCUCAUAGCGUUCUUCCCACACCUGUGGCCCCUCAUUCCUGUAGACAGCCAUGGCACUGCCAAUCACUUCAAGAGCUAGAGGGAGCCCCUCACAUUUGCUAGCUAUUCUCUCGGCAACUUCCACAAUGUCCGGAUCACUAGGUAGUGAAUCACGAAAGGCAAACUUCCAAAACAUCUUUUCGCUCUCGGCCUUUGAUAGCUUACACACACGAAAUAUUUUUGCACCCAGCAUGCUCAAAAUGUCUUCCUUUCUGGUUGUUACCAGCACCCGGCUGUAAGAGGACGGCCCUGUUAUAAAAUCCAGUCCCUCGGCCCAGCUCAUGUCCCACACAUCAUCCAGUAUCAGCAAGACACGAAUUCCACGAGCAACAUUUUGUGCCAAGUGCUGCACAUGCUCAAGGGUGCCUGCAUUUUGGGCCCUCUCUUUCAUGCCGCCCCAUUCAAGAGCGUUGAGGAGCUGGGCCCUGAGAUCAUCCUCCGAUGCAUCUUUCUUGACAGUGAUCCAUACAAUGUUGUCAUGGAAAUGCUGCCGGACCCUCUGGUCAUUGUUCACGAAUCUUGCAAGGGUGGUCUUGCCACACCCUCCCAUUCCCAGGAGUCCAAACCAUUUCCCCGGGUGUGGAUCCAGGAGGGCAUUCACCACCUCAUCCACCUGCUCCCCAUGGCGGCCAAACAUGUCGUUGGCCUCGGGAACACCACGCCGUUCAUACUUUACGAGACCUCUGUCUUGUGGACAACUCCGUACGGAAAAGCUGGUGCUCCGCUGUAUCACUCUCAACUCUUCUCGCUCGUACCUUUCAAUGUGCGGGAGGAGAUCGUCCUCGCAAGUGCGUACCAGCUCCGAAAUCGCGCCAGAUCGCUUCUCCCUGCGCGACAGAUCCAUCUUUUAGCUUCAUUGCUUCAAACAUGAAUUCGAAUAAGCCUUACCGUAGUGCUUGCGCCUUCUUAGUCCAUUCAGUCAGUUCAGUCAGCCACGCCUCAGCCUCACCAGAGUAGCGGAAAUCUGGAUUCCUGUGCUUGGGAGCAUUAAACUUGUCAAGCGUGGCCUGGAUUCUGGAUGCCCUCUUCUCUAGCUUCUCAAUGUGGACAUUCAGCUCAUGCUCGUGACCUUGGAUCUGCGACAGGAGAUCGUCGUAGGCACUUAAGGACUUCGCGAUCUCGUUACUCCGCUUGUACCUAUAGGAAGUGGAGAAGUUCAACCAGCUGCCUGCCAUUUCUACACACACACACACACAAAAGAUAAAAUGCUACUGUACCGACCGCUUUAUGGGGCUCCAGAUCCUGUUGUGGCGUGAUCGCAAGAGUGCUUGUGCCGUGGUGUUCCAUGUCCUGACACGCUCCAAGCAUUUCUCGGCCGCUUCAGAGAACGUGAAGCCAGGAUUCUGCUGCUUGUGAACACUGAAAGCUUCGAUCUUGUCCUGGAUGUGGGGCGCCUUGUUCUCCAGCGUGUCAAUGUUGGCAUUGCAGUCCCAUAUCUUCUUAGCAGGGCCCAGAGCCAAGCCACACAAGACGCCUGUCAAGGAGCCCACAACCUCCAUGCCUGUAGACCUACAAGUAAACGUCGUCUCCCAGAACUCUUGGCCUUGGUACCCCUCUUAAAAUGAACAGUAAUUCUCAGAGAGGUAUAAGCUGUUACAAGUGACUUGAGUUUAAUUGGAGUUGAUUGCUUGCAGUAGAGCCCGUAGUAGAGGGCCUCGUGCAGCACCCUCCCUCUUGCAAUGCCAGCUGUGGCUCUCUCUCUCUCUCUCUCUCUCAUUGCUCCGACAUUGUAAGUUUCUCCAGGAGAGGUAACUUUUGUCGCUUUGUUUUAGUUGCACACAGAUAGGACGCCUUCCAGCUGACUGGGCCACGUGUUUGAUUGCUUUGGGUCAGGAAAGCGUACUCUGGGUCAUUCUUCACUAUUUUUGAGACUAGAAAUGUAUAUGGUUUUACUUUUGAACUAGGAUAGUUUAUAUGUUUUAAUAUAGUUAACACUCUGGAACUUGAUUUAUAAUAUUAAGGACAUCAAGAAUUAUUUUAAAAUUGGACUAAAACUUGAUUUUCCUUAUGGAUUUUCAACUACAUAAAAGAUGUACAUUCAUGUAAUUUAUUCAUAUGACAAUAUUCUUUUGAUAAGAGCAUAGGUUGUGCUGUUUAACAAACAUAUGAUGUUUUUGACUGGAACUUUUAUGAAAAAAUUCCCACACUUCAAUAAGAAAAUAAAAAAAUUUAUAUUGUUUUUAUUUGCUGCAGAAUGUCCUUUUUUAAUUCUAUAUGAAUUGGGAUUGUUGGUUACAACUUCCAUACAUAUAACAUAUAAAUGUUCUAUUGCAAACACCUUUACCACAUAUUUAAUUCUUCCUUGGAUCCUCAUAAUAUAAUCAAUUGCCACUUCUAUAAAAUUGUCUUUAUUGUUACUUCUAUAGUAGUGUCCUUAUUGUGGGCACCUUCUGGAAAUUUGUGAUAAACUACAUCCAAAACUAAAUAAAAGUAAUUCCAAACAUUGUUAUAGUAUGGCACAAUGCAAACUUCUCUAACUAGAGCAUCCAUUAGUAAGAUGCAAAUAUGAUUAAACUGAAUAUUCCCUAAAACUAGAAUAUGAGAACCUAUGUGGUGAUAUUUCAUUAGAGUUCUUCUUAGUUCAUCUACAUAGUAACUGAGAAAAAAUUAUUAGCUUCUACCAAAGAAAUAGACAGAUAGACAAUUUCUCACUAGUAGUAUUUAACACAAAUAAAGAUUUCAAUUGCACCCCUAAUCCCAACUAAGAAUAUCUUUAUAAUUUGAGUAAAAUAUAUAUCACUUGGAAAACCAUAUAGUUAUAAGCAUGAAAUAUAAUAUGAUUAUUACAAACCUACCACCAUAGUUGUGUUUUGCUUUUGCACUAUGAUUUUAGCAUGUAUUGCCACAAUUUUUAAUUCUUCCUCUUUCAUGACAUUUUCUUCAACCAAAUUAUCAUUAGGUAAACUAUUCAUCACUCAUUCCAACAUCACUAAUGACAAAUAUAAUGUUCUCUCACAAAUCAUAUCCAAACCCAUUUGCUAGAUUAUAUGGUUCUGACUUUCCCCCCAAAUCCACUCUAUUAUUUGUCACCGUGCUAACUUAUGCAUUUUUAGUGAGAGUAAGUGUUUGCCUAUGCUUAUAGAAAGUAGAUUUGGUGAAAAAAUAACCUUUUGUUGCCCUUGUUGCAACAUAUGAUAGACAACAAUAAUUUUUCUUUCCUUUUUGAUUUAGUUUGGUAUGAACCAUUGAGAUGUGUCAUUUUCUAGCUAAUCUAGUGAUUCUAAUCCCCAGACAAAUAUUACAAUCAACAUUACAAGGCAAACACAUUCUUGCAAAACUUGUGAAACUUAAAAAUACACGAUUAUCACAUAUCUUUUAGUGUUUUUAAUGUUGUCAGCCUUGUGGUUUUUUGCUGCUUUCUUUCAAAAACAUAAUAUUGUUAUAAAUAUUUUUUUUGAGGUAUUUUUCAAGUCUUUAUUUAGCAAAUUCAUAAUGGAGGUAGAGGAGAUAAAUUGCCCAAUCCGUAAUGCUUUUUGGGAUUAGGCCUAUAAGUAACAUUUGAUAAACAUAAAACAUAGGAAGGUUAAGGCUUUUUACUUGCAUUUAUUGAUAGAAUUUUUUUUCUACUGCUUGUGAUCACUGAAAGCGUUGAUCUUGGCCUGGAUGUGGUGCGCCUUGUUCUCCAGCGUUUCAAUGUUGGCAUUGCAGUCCCAUAUCUUCUUAGCAGGGCCCAGAGCCAAGCCACACAAGGCGCUUGCCAAGACGCUUGUCAAGGAGCCCACAACCUCCAUGGCUGUAGACCUACAAGUAAAGGUUGUCUCCCUCCCAGAAAGAAGCACAAUAUUAACUCUUGACCUUGUAGAUCGGAAUUCUUCACUUUUUUCACAGCUGUGACUCACUCACUCUAAGAGAUUCACAGUGAGCACCGCAACGAUCGCUACAUCGCUCGCAAGAAACACCUCUAUUUGUACAAACAGACAAACGUGGAGCACGUAAAGUACUUGUGUCUUUGGCCUAAAAACGGGCAUCUUAAACGCCAUAGCCAGAAAAUGGACGGCGGAGAUCUUUUGAGCAAGAACCCUAAGCCCCAAUUUCUCUUGGCGAGGCGGCGAGAGAGCGAUGGCGCAGAGAGAUGCGACACGCCCGAGAAGAACAUCGUCUUUUCUCUUGUACGGCGUUGAUCCAGGCGAACGGGAAUAGAGGGCUCCUCUGCCGAUCUUUGAUGGGAUCCGGGCGAUCUUGUCACCGACGUCUUGAAAGAUCUUAGAUUCUAUCCGCAAUCGCCCAGUCAAUGCGAUCCUGGCGAUGGGUGCUCCAUAUCAUUCUAUUCCCGCCCGGACGUGAUCUCCAGGAUUUGCGAAGAAGAAGGUCGUCGAUCAGAUGCGCGAUGCUGGCGCGCAAUUGAUUGGGGCUUCCCGCUACAUUUUCCCGCGCUAUCGUCUCUACUUCUCCAUUCUAGGGUUCUUUCUUGGAGGCGACGUAGGUUUUCUAUUGCCCGCGUGGUCGAGGAGACGGCGCUGGGGGGCGGCCUUGAUCGGCGUUCUGGAGCUACACAGGUAAUGGGGCUCGAAAUAGGAAGAGGCUCCAGCUUAAGGCUCCGACGAGCAGUGCCAAGGCGAGGAGCCCCAGCCAGCGUUACGGUGACAACAAAGGCCCCUGGGGCAAAAUGUUCCAUCGGCAGUGGAUCGCCAAAAACUCCUGCAAAAGCUGAGGCUUCUAGGACAGCAAAAAUUGCCGAGGUGAGCAAUGAUAGUGGAGCAGAGGAUUUAGACGAUUCGGGAGUAGAAAGUGGAGCAAUCGAUGGUGGGGAAGAAGAGGUAAACAAGAUCAUGACUGGAGGAGGAAACGAUGCCGAGGUGGAAAGAACAACAGUGGUGGAGAGCUCCAUUGAGACUGUCAGGAAACAUGGCGAGGCUGUUUCUAGCGCCUUAGCUGGACUUUCAAUCAGAGGUAGUGCCUUGACCCACGGUAAUCCCGUUAAGAUGAAAGCUGGUUGUGGUUCCGUGAAAGCUGAAGCUUCGGUUUCGAUCGCAGCUGGAUGUGAUCCUAUGAAAGUAGAUGGAUUGGUGAAAAUGGAAGCUGGUUUUGAGUCUGCAAGAGUCGAAGCUCUGGUUGGCUCGGUGAAGAUGGACCCUCGUUAUGAUACUGUGAAACUUGAAACUCCAUUCGGGGGUUGUUUUAGAUGUUGAGAGGUGGUGGCUUCUCCAAGAGACUGAAGUUGCCGGGUACUCGACGUCCAGGGGAUGCCGGAUUCGUGUUGGCGAGUUCAUUUCCUUCAGUUUUCCCAAGCCUGAAGCCGAAAGUAAGAAGAAUUUCUUUGAGCACAAGAAGGUUCGGCCGAAAGUGAGCUCCGAUAUUGUAAGGUUCUUGACAAAAGCUUCAGGAGAGGUACGUUUCACUUGACUUGUUUCUUCGUUUUACUUCUAACCAUUUGCUCACAGAUAGGACGGCUUCCAGCCGACUGCGCCAAGUGUUUGAUACCUUUGGGAAGUGCAAAAUGGCACCAGAGGCUCUUUCUCUUAUGAGCAGCAUAGUUCUCCAUUUGAGGUAGAGUUUUCUGUGUUUACCAGAGACGUUACGUAUAUGAUGUGCUUGCAGAGUUUAUAUCAACAAGUCAGAAGCCUUACGAGGAGGGGGUUGAGCGCGGAUUGAAGCUUCUGCAAGCUAUCUUGAAGCCGGUAAUGCUUCGAAGAACAAAAGAUUCAACUGAUAAAGAAGGAAGGUAAGCAUUUUUUUCUUUGCACCGUGCCUUGUCUUGUAUUCACUCACCGUGCCUUGUCUUGUAUUCACUCACAAGUUGGAUUCACAGACCAAUUCUUGUUCUCCAACCGGCUCAAUGUGAAGUUAUUGAAUGCAAACUAUCUGAGCCUGAACGUGAUUUUUAUGAUGCCCUUUACCACAGAUCUAAGGCAUGAAGAACUUCUCUUUCUUUUAUUUUCUCUUUUUUCUGAACACGAUUUUGCAUUUGUGAUCAGGUAAAAUUCGAUCAGUUCGUUGAACAAGGUAAAGUUCUCCAUAACUAUGCCUCGAUCCUCGAACUGCUACUUCGAUUACGGCAAGCUUGUGAUCAUCCUUUUCUUGUUCUGAGGUAGAAAAUGCAUCCUCUUAUGUCUGAAGUUCCUCACGUUUUCUUCGUCACGCAGCCGUGGCGAUACUGAAGACUUUGCGGACCUGGGAAAGCUGGCUAGACGUUUCUUGGACAAGAAUUCCUCCCAGGUGCCUUCGACGGCGUAUGUCAAAGAGGUGGUAUUCGUAAAGGAGAAAGUGCUGAGUGCCCAAUUUGUUUGGAGAUGCCAGAGGACGCAGUUCUUACAUUGAAAGUGCCGUGAGUGCCGAGAAUGUGGACGAUCGAGCAUCGGUCAGACGAAGAACGUAUCGAUCAAGCGAUUCAUCAUCAAAGUAAGCGCCACUUGAAACUCUCUUUGACGUUUCUCAUGUCUCUAGAGCAGGACUCGGUGGAGGAGAGAAUGCAACAGGUCCAAGCGAGGAAGCAGCGAUUGAUCGCGGGGGCUCUCACAGACGAAGAGGUGCCAAGCGCUCGAAUCGAGGAGCUCAAAAUGCUAUUUAAAUGAGAAGAACUGGAGUCCUUAGCAUUUUCUUAACUUACAUCAGGUUAAAGAGGGGAAUAUGCUUCUAGCUUCGGCGCGUAUAUUCUUCAAUGUGUCAUAGCUAGGUUUCUUCGCGGCUAUGGCGGACAGCGAAGGAGCAGGCGAUUGCGUCGCAAGCGCGUUUGAUUCCGGCAGCAUCGGCGACGAGCAACGUAUGCAUGCUAGGAGCAGCAGCAGCGCCAGCGCCGGCGCCGCGCCGCGAUUUCGCUGGCCUAGAGCCGGAGUAGCCGAUCUAGAUUCAUGCAAGCAUAUGAUCUCUAGGAAAUUGAGCUGAACGCUGAGGCUUUGCAGGCGAUCGCGUCGAUUCCUCUCGUCUCCGCGGCCGGGGCGGCUAGAAAGCCGGGGCGCAUUCUAGAGUUUCGGGGUUUCUGGGGCGAUCAGUCAUGUAGCGGGCAGUGAUUCUCUCACAGAGAGCUGGAAGUCAGCCAUGACGUGGAAUCCGCCACAAGUAGCUUGUCCGCCUUGACUGCCACUACUCAGGCCGAGGAUGAACUGGGCGUGGAUGUGUCGUCUCCCAGCGGCGAUUUGCUGCUCCAUUUGAGCGGUGGGGGCGACGAGCAGCUGAGGAGCAGUAGCAGCUACAGGACCCAGCAGUCGCACCUUACGGUCCCUGCCACAGCUUUGCUCCUUCUGGAGGACCUGGAGGAGGAGGAGAAGGUCCUCCUCCACGACCACUCUACGUCCCAGCAAUAAGAUUUGGUGGGUGGUCACCUUACUUCCAGCAGCACCAAGACCCACUUUUCCCUUCGGAUCCAUUCUUGACUCCGUCGGACCACUGAUUUCUACGCUCGUUUGCUCCUCUUCCAGUCGAGAGACCGUUCCAUCCGCCAGUGCCGUAUCCUUUUCCAAAUGCUCCGACUUUCCAGCCUGCUGAUAAUGUGGUUCAUCCGCCGCAUUCCUCUGGGGAGCUUAAAGCUCGUCCUGGCCUUCACUUCGAGUCUCCGGUGUUUGGACCCAGCGCAGCAGAGACCUCGGACUCCAAACGCGCCCCAGAGCAGCCGAGGAGAUCGGUUACACCUGCGAAGGAUGACAAGCAACAAUUCCACGGCAAUGGUUCCGAGCUCCUUCAGUUGUUACAGGGUGGUCCUGGUCGUGUGAAGCCCACAGCCUCCACAAAGGUGGAUGCUACACAGGACAGUGGGGAUUCUGGAGAGCCAUCAAAGAAAGGAAGUCCAUCUGCUGUUCACGGCCCCACAGGAUCGCCGAGGCGUCAUGUCGUUGCUCCUCCGCAGAGUCCAAAUGACCUCCUUGGACGUUUGUGGCCUGCUCUUCCGUCGUCAAGCCACACUUUGUUUGACGGAGGAAGCGAGCGCAAGGCGUCAGCCCGGAGCUUUGGCGUUGAAGUGAACGAGAUGUCCCGGGAAGUCGAUGGAGGUGGAGCUGCUGGUUUCGCACUUUUGAAGCGAAGGGGAUCGGAGCCUGCCGCCUCGCACUACCUUUAAACGGCUACGACUAUAACGACUCUAACCCCAGGACAAACUCAGCAUCCGGAAGACUACAGGACUAUCGUGGGAGAUACGUAAAUGGAGAGGCCGAAUUUGAGCCCGGAGGCGACGACUUUAGAGGAGGCGUCGAGGUGCCGGUCGUGCAGACGCCAGACGCGGUGCUCGGGGUGCUGUUGGCCAGUGCAUUGCGGUAAAUGAGAGGCUAGCCGCUUCAUCCCAUGGUGCUCUGCCUUUGUCAUUGGCAUGACAAGCGGAUAGGAAUCUAAGUCUUGAUCAGUCCUGCUCUCAGCCCAGCUGAUAACAGGCUGCACUUGAAGGAGAUUGUGCUCGAUCAUGGAGUCAACACUAUCUUGUGCGAUCUUGAGCUCGCACUUGGGCACCACACCAUCCGGCGCCUUUGCACACACCCUUAUCACCUCAGUCCAUUCCUCUGGCUUCCACAGCGCAUCGCUUCUCCCAUCAAAGCGCUCAAAGCGGCGGGGAGACCAGCCUGAAACCAUAUCCGAAACGGCACUGCUGGUCGAGAGCCCUGCUUCUCCUCGAAAGACCUCCGCAGCUUCGCCCGGCUCAGUGGACAGCGUUUCUCGACUUGUUAGAGAUACCAUUGAAAAGGUACGAACGUCUUUCCUUUUGGUGCUUUCUCUUUGUUUGUGUUUCUAACAAUGCACUGCCAGGAAGAACUUCUGUUUCGUCCGCUUGGACGGAACGCUAUCGCAGCGUCAGCGAGAACAAGUGCUCAAAAACUUCGGCAAUAUUCCAGCCGUGGCCGUAAGCUUUUUGUGUUGCUUACCUCCAAGAAACCACUCUAUUUUGUGGACAGGUCAUGCUCAUGCUUUUCUCAUGGUACGCGCUAUAGUUUUCUUUUUUAGCCAUCUUCCGAGUCGAGAAUGUGGACGAUCGAGCAUCGGUCAGACGAAGAACGUAUCGAUCAAGCGAUUCAUCGUCAAAGUAAGCGCGAGUUGAAACUCUCUUUGACGUUUCUCAUGUCUCUAAAGCAGGAUCCAAGAGGAAGCAGCGAUUGAUCGCGGGGGCUCUCACAGACGAAGAGGUGCGAAGCGCUCGAAUCGAGGAGCUCAAAAUGCUAUUUAGAUGAGAAGAACUGGAUUUUUUUAACUUAUAUCAGUUAAAGAGGGGAAUAUGCUUCUAGCAUCGGCGCGUAUAUUCUUCGGAUAGUUCAAUGAAUGUGGGCUAUGCGUAUAGGAGCUUUGGCUAGGGUACAAGCACUUCUAGGUUUCUUCGCGGCUAUGGCGGACAGUGAAGGAGCUGGCGAUCGCGUCGCAAGCGCGUUUGAUUCCGGCAGCAUCGGCGACGAGCAAGGUAUGCAUGCUAGGAUCGCCUCGAGAAGCAGCAGCAGCGCCGGCGCCGGCGCCGCGCCGCGAUUUCGCUGGCCUAGAGCCGGAGUAGCCGAUCUAGAUUCAUGCAAGCAUAUGAUCUCUAGGAAAUUGAGCUGAACGCUGAGGCUUUGCAGGCGAUCGCGUCGAUUCCUCUCGUCUCCGCGGCUGGGGCGGCUAGAAAGCCGGGGCGCAUUCUAGAGUUUCGGGUUUCUGGGGUGAUCAGUCAUGUAGCGGGCAGUGAUUCUCUCAUAGGGAGCUGGAAGUCAGCCAUGACGUGGAAUCCGCCACAAGUUCCUCCCAGCUUGUCCGCCUUGACUGCCACUACUCAGGCCGAGGAUGAACUGGGCCUGGAUGUGUCGUCUCCCAGCGGCGAUUUGCUACUCCAUUUUCUCGAGCGGUGGGGGCGACGAGCAGCUGAGGAGCAGUAGCAGCGACAGGACCCAGCAGUCGCAGCUCACGGUCCCUGCCACAGCUUUGCUCCUUCUGGAGGACCUGGAGGAGGAGGAGGAGAAGGUCCUCCUCCACGACCACUCCACGUCCCAGCAAUAAGAUUUGGUGGGUGGUCACCUCACUUCCAGCAGCACCAAGACCCACUUUUCCCUUCGGAUCCAUUCUUGACUCCGUCGGACCACUGAUUUCUACGCUCGUUUGCUCCUCUUCCAGUCGAGAGACCGUUCCAUCCGCCAGUGCCGUAUCCUUUUCCAAAUGCUCCGACUUUCCAGCCUGCU
rnacentral:lncRNA from 1 species